rnacentral:rRNA from 1 species
UACGAAGGGGGGCUAGCGUUGUUCGGAUUUACUGGGCGUAAAGCGCACGUAGGCGGAUUGUUAAGUCGGGGGUGAAAUCCUGGAGCUCAACUUCAGAAUUGCCUUCGAUACUGGCUUUCUAGAGGCUGGAAGAGGUUAGUGGAAUUCCCAGUGUAGAGGUGAAAUUCGUAGAUAUUGGGAAGAACACCAGUGGCGAAGGCGGCUAACUGGUCCAGAUCUGACGCUGAGGUGCGAAAGCGUGGGGAGCAAACAGGG